UACAGAGGGUGCGAGCGUUGUCCGGAAUCACUGGGCGUAAAGGGCGCGUAGGCGGCUUGAUAAGGUUGCGGUGAAAGCCCGGGGCUCAACCCCGGGUCGGCCGUGGCAACUGUCGAGCUGGAGCACUGUAGAGGCAGGUGGAAUUCCGGGUGUAGCGGUGGAAUGCGUAGAGUUCCGGAAGAACACCGGUGGCGAAGGCGGGUCCCUGGGCCGAUACUGACGCUGAGGAGCGAAAGCGUGGGGAGCGAACAGG
rnacentral:rRNA from 1 species